UAAAUGGGCAAAGGCCAAGAAAGGAGAGGAAGCUUUAUUUACAACCAGGGAGUCUGUGGUUGACUACUGCAACAGGCUUUUAAAGAAACAGUUUUUUCAUCGGGCCCUAAAAGUAAUGAAAAUGAAAUAUGACAAAGACAUAAAAAAAGAAAAAGAAAAAGGAAAAUCUGAAAGUGGGAAAGAAGAUGAUAAAAAGAGCAAGAAAGAAAGUAUUAAAGAAGAAAAAACAAAAAAGGAAAAAGAAAAAAAGAAAGAUGGUGAAAAGGAAGAUUCCAAAAAGGAAGAAACUCCAGGAACUCCAAAAAAGAAGGAAACUAAGAAGAAAUUCAAACUUGAGCCACAUGAUGACCAAGUCUUUCUGGAUGGAAAUGAGUGAUUGCAGUAAUAGCUGCCACCCUCUUCCCUCUCUGGCCAGCAGAAAUGAGAGUAGGUGUGUAUUACCUCAGUGUGGGCGCAGGCUGUUUUGUAGCCAGCAUUCUCCUCCUUGCUAUUGCUCGCUGCAUCCUGUUCCUCAUCAUCUGGCUGAUAACUGGAGGAAGGCACCACUUUUGGUUCCUGCCAAACCUGACUGCUGACGUGGGCUUCAUUGACUCCUUCAGGCCUCUGUACACACAUGAGUACAAAGGACCAA
rnacentral:lncRNA from 1 species